rnacentral:rRNA from 1 species
UGGGGAAUUUUGGACAAUGGGCGAAAGCCUGAUCCAGCAAUACCGCGUGUGUGAUGAAGGCCUUCGGGUCGUAAAGCACUUUCAAUUGUGAAGAAAUGCAUACGGUAAAUAGCCGUAUGAGCUGACGUUAACAAUAGAAGAAGCACCGGCUAACUCUGUGCCAGCAGCCGCGGUAAUACAGAGGGUGCGAGCGUUAAUCGGAAUUACUGGGCGUAAAGAGCGCGUAGGCGGACAAUUAAGUCAUGUGUGAAAUCCCUGAGCUCAACUUAGGAAUUGCGCGUGAUACUGGUUGUCUUGAGUAUGGUAGAGGGAAGUGGAAUUUCCGGUGUAGCGGUGAAAUGCAUAGAUAUCGGAAGGAACACCAGUGGCGAAGGCGACUUCCUGGGCCAUUACUGACGCUGAGGCGCGAAAGCGUGGGGAGCAAACAGG